rnacentral:tRNA from 1 species
GCUCCUGUAGUGUAGCCCGGUAACACGGCGGCCUCCAACUCCGCAAACCUCGGUUCAAAUCCGAGCGGGAGUGCCA